GGCGCUUACCACUUUGUGAUUCAUGACUGGGGUGAAGUCGUAACAAGGUAACCGUAGGGGAACCUGCGGUUGGAUCACCUCCUUACCUGAAAGAAGC
rnacentral:rRNA from 2 species